rnacentral:rRNA from 1 species
UACGAAGGGGGCUAGCGUUGCUCGGAAUUACUGGGCGUAAAGGGAGCGUAGGCGGAUAGUUCAGUCAGAGGUGAAAGCCCAGGGCUCAACCUUGGAAUUGCCUUUGAUACUGGCUGUCUUGAGUAUGGGAGAGGUUAGCGGAACUCCGAGUGUAGAGGUGAAAUUCGUAGAUAUUACGGAAGAACACCAGUGGCGAAGGCGGCUAACUGGCCCAUUACUGACGACUGAGGCUGGAAAG